GUAAACUCUAAAUUUCUUUGAUUUUUUUCAGCCAGCAGUCUUACCAGACUAUUUGUUUUCUGCACUCCACUGCAAUAUAUACCAGGUCCCAAGACCAGGAACACAAGAGGAUGCCUUAUACUGAGGUCAGUAUUGUCUGUGGUGACUGGCAGAAGUUCUGCAGGGUUUCAGGGAUGAGUUCCUCCCAAACCUACCUGGAGAUACCAGGGAUUGAACCUGGGACCUUCUGGAUUAGCUGUAGUUCCUGAGUCUCCUUCAAAGGUAGCCCUUAUACAUAAGGAAGCACCACUUUCCACAUUAAGAACAUAAGAAGAGCAUGAUGGAUCAGGUCAGUGGUCCACCUAGUCCAGCAUCCUGUUCUCUUAGCAACCAAUCAGAUGUCUGUGGGACCCAAACAUGAGAACACUCUGCCCUACUUUGGCUUCCAGCAACUGGUUUUCAGAUGAAUGAAUGAAUCUUUAUUUGCAUCAGCCACCGGCCAUAGCAACAAAACAGCAAUGCAGUAUACAAAGAACAGAAAUAAAAAGUCGAUUAUAUAAAACGCACUUUAGGGUCCUGAAUCAGCAGUCAAAUAGUGGACCUUAUUCUGAUUGCCCCAGCUAAAAACCUUGCAACCUUUGCUGUCAUCUGCUCCUCUUGAUCUGCCAGAAGAAAGGACACUGUGGCAGUGGUUGGGCGACCCAGAAUGGACAAUAAGAGAAGGGUGAUAAUCUCAUUCCUCAACUCUUUAUACAGAGUGCAAGCCAGAAGGGUAUGCGCCACUGAUUCGGUACUGCUAUCUCCACAGGGACAUAAGCGUUUUUCAUGUGGAAUCUGUAGGAAUCGUCCCUCAAGUACAGCCGAGGGCAAUACAUUCAAUCUUGUAAGAGGUUUUCAGAAGCUUUGAUGCCUCCAACUGCAGAGGCAGAGUAUACCUACUGUGGCUAGUAGCCACUGAUUGCCUUUCCGUCCAUUAAUUUGUCCAAUUCUCUUUUAAAGUCAUCCGUGUUGGUGGCCAUUACUGCCUCCUGCAGAAGCCACCGUUUAACGACGCACUGCUUCGUUAGCAUUACGCCAUUGCUUUCCCCCAUCGAUGCAUGAAGUCCGGGAGGCUGCAUUCAAAUGCAGCCACUUGUUCCUGCAAGGCAGCUGCGUAGACCCAAGGGCAAAUGUACGUGCAUUUCACUCAACAUGAUGUAAUGGCUGGAGAGAUGCAGCGCCAUAUAUCAAAUCACAGAAAGUGUAAUGUCAGCUGAAAAUUCUGAAAACAUUGUCUUGUUUUAAAAGGACACACUGUCUUUUAAAGAGCUUGCUCCCUCUCCCUCUUGCUUAUUCUCUCCCUCCCGCCAGUACUUAGGAGGUGAUUCAUAGACCACUGAUCUUGGCAUUGUCUGGAGAUGUCACAAAAUCAUCCUCUCAUUUCUGUUAACUGCAAGGCCGCCUUGCUGCCCGGGCUCUAGGGAGUCGCUGGAAUGGAGGUUCUUGCGAACUGUUGCUUCAACCUCUGAACUCCUUGCCAGUAUUCUGUUUUGACAGAAACGUUUGCCCUCAGUGAAAGGCAAGUUUGUCCUAUUCGCCUUCUGAAGCUGAGCCUAGGCCCAUUUCCACAUAUACUUUAUCUGUUCCUCGUGUGUGUGUCUGCCUGUCUUCUCCUUGUGCUUUCCUCCUCAAAUGACAUUUAGAUUGUAAGCUCCUUGCGGAGAGGAAUCUGUGUACAUCUCUAAGUGUGUAUGUGUGUCUCCUUAUUUUAUUCUGAAGCAAGAAGUGGGGAACCUCAGGUCCAGGGACAGAAUGUUGUUGUUGUUUAGUUGUUUAGUUGUGUCCGACUCUUCGUGACCCUAUGGACCAGAGCACGCCAGGCCCUCCUGUCUUCCACUGCCUCCUGCAGUUUGGUCAAAUUCAUGUUAGUAGCUUUGAGAACACUGUCCAACCAUCUCGUCCUCUGUCGUCCCCUUCUCCUUGUGCCCUCCAUCUUUCCCAACAUCAGGGUCUUUUCCAGGGAGUCUUCUCUUCUCAUGAGAUGGCCAAAGUACUGGAGCCUCAGCUUCAGGAUCUGUCCUUCCAGUCAGCACUCAGGGCUGAUUUCCUUCAGAAUGGAGAGGUUUGAUCUUCUUGCAGUCCAUGGGACUCUCAAGAGUCUCCUCCAGCACCAUAAUUCAAAAGCAUCAAUUCUUCGGCAAUCAGCCUUCUUUAUGGUCCAGCUCUCAGGGGCAGAAUACAGCCCUCCAAACCUCUCUCUCUGGUCCUUGGGACUCUCUCCUAGCUGCACCCUUCUCCAGGACAUCUGACCCUCUCUCCACACCACCUCCAUCACUGAUUCUUCUCUACACGCAUCUCAACACGCAUUUUCCUGGGUGGAAGGUGUCCUUGAGCAGUGAUAAUGCUGCUUACUUGCCUGGCUGGAGAAAGUUGGGUGUGUGUGUAGUGAGGCUCUUAGAAACACCUGGCUUUUGCACAGCCGGGACCCCAUCUGCACUGUCCCCUGAAGCAGUAUCACACCACUUUCAAAAAGCCAUGGCUUCUCCCAAGGAGUCGUGGGAACUGAAGUUUCUUAAGGGUGCUGAGAGCUGUUAGGAGACCUUCCCCCGUUCCCCUCGCAGAACUACAAUUCCCAGAGUUCCCUUGGAAAAGGAAUUGAUUGCCCUUAAAGCUCCAUGAGUGCAGGAGGAUCUCUGAAUCGUCCCUGUACUCUUGCAAAUAGUUAUAUCAGGAUGAGAAGCUGUUCUUUUUUCAGAGGUACGAGAAAUGCAGGGGGGGUGAGUGGGAACCAAUGACUGCGGCAGGCUGCCAAUAAAAUGUAUGAAGGCAAUUUCUGCGUUUAAGGCAUUUCCUCGUGGAGGCCACUUCAGUGCAUUGGUUUCUUGUCACAGUCCAUAGUGAGGAUGACAAAUCUGACUAAUUCAUGUUCCCCCAGUCAAACGACUUGUCAGUGUUCUCAUAAUAAUAUAUAAGCCUCUGAACCAACAUCAAUCAGCAUCUGCAGGCUUCUUUCUCAAUCUUUCCACUCGGAAGGGAGGAAAUGCAGCAGAAAGCAUGGAGCUGGGAUCGGAGAGCCAUCGAAGCAGCUGAUCUUACAUGAAAGGCCGGGAAAGGGAAAUAAAUGCAUUUGUGAAUGUGGAGGAGAAGAUGGCAUUGCAACGGCAAGGCAGUAGUCUAAGAGGGGUGUAUUUUCCACAUUUCCACAUUUAAUAUACUGUGUGUAUAUAUAGGAAUAUAAGGUAAAGGGACCCCUGACCAUUAGGUCCAGUCAUGACCGACUCUGGGGUUGCGGCUCUCAUCGUGCUUUAUUGGCUGAGGGAGCCGGCGUACAGCUUCCGGUUAAUGUGGCCAGCAUGAGUAAGCCGCUUCUGGUGAACCAGAGCAGCGCACGGAAACGCCAUUUACCUUCCCGCCAGAGUGGUACCUAUUUAUCUACUUGCACUUUGACGUGCUUUCAAACUGCUAGGUGGGCAGGAGCAGGGACCGAGCAACGGGAGCUCACCCUGUCGUGGGGAUUCGAACUGCUGACCUUCUGAUCAACAAGUCCUAGGCUCUGUGGUUUAACCCACAGCGCCACCCGCAUCCCAUAUAUAGGAGUAAGUCCCAGCUAUUCUCCCAUGCAAUCAUUAAAUCAGAAGGGUAGACUUUAUUCUCCAGUCCAGUAGGAUGAAGUAUGUGUAUUUGGCUAUAAAACUCAGUUCCUCACAGCUGUGAACUGCUUGGCAUUGAGGGACUGAUAGUCACAAAUCAUGAUAGGGGAGGAAAAGCAUUUAGUUAACUUUUAUUUUAUUUUAUUUUAUUUUUUACUAAUAUAUAUAUCAUGAAAAUAUUGGCAUGUUUACAACAAUUAUAUGUAAAACCAUACAAGAGAAACCAUGUAAGAACCAUGAAAAUCAACUGACGAUUAUGGAAAGGUAUAUUCUUAAUAGCCUGCAAAAGCCUGAAGGAAUAGGAAAGUUUUCAGCAGGAAUUAAAAAGUUGAAACAGAAGGCAACCAUUAUAUUUAAAGGAGAGCCUAGCUAAUGCACACUAUCCUAAAGACUCCAGGGACCAAAGCACAGCCAUCUCUCAAAAUUCACAUGUUUUGGAAUGUGGCAGUGUGGUCCUCCAGCCAAGCAGUUUUUACAAAACUGUAUAUACCGGGGCAAAGUGUACAUAAAAAUGUAUAUAUUAGUGAAAAUAACUACAACAGAUGUAUUAUAUUAAGGAAAUUUGCUCUGCCAAAAAAAUGUAUAUUCGGUAAAAUUGCAUGCAAAAGUUGUAUGUUGCAAGGAAUUUGUAGUAAACUCUGAAUUUGCAUGUGAAUUUUUUAUUAUUAAAAAAAUCACACAUUGUAGAAAUGGGGAGAAUUUAAUGAGAAACUGUCAAUGACAGAUUCACAGACCUCUAGUUACAAAUUGUGUUCAUCUGGGCUGACCCAAACCAGCUGAUUGUUUUUCGUGAAGAUUCUCAGCAGGACAAGAAAACCAAAACCUCCUUUUCUAAAUGGUUUUUCAGCACUCCUGAACAAACAUGUGUUUGUUGAAAUUGCUCUCACUCUCCAUCGCCUUGAUUCACCCUCAAUGAAGUCAUUGCACAAUCAAAUCUGAUUGACCAUUUAGCACUGUGGUGCUGUCCUGUUCGCUAUGUGAUUCCUGAUGGGGGUGAAUUUCUCUCUGGGAAAGAGAAAGAAGAAGAUGUCACUGAGGAGAGGAAGUGCCAAAUAAGCUUCAGACAGAGGAAACAAUGAACAAGGUCAAAAAAAAAAAAAAGGUAAAUAGAUUUGGGCACUGCUGGUCACUACAAUUGGCAGAUGUUCCAAAUGAACUUCUGGAAUGACAUGUCUGGG